rnacentral:rRNA from 1 species
CCUACGGGAGGCUGCAGUGAGGAAUAUUGGUCAAUGGCCGGAAGGCUGAACCAGCCAUGCUGCGUGAAGGUCAGUGCCCUAUGGGCGUUAAACUUCUUUUGUGCGGGAGCAAUAAUGGUCACGUGUGGCCAGACGAGAGUACCGUACGAAUAAGCAUCGGCUAACUCCGUGCCAGCAGCCGCGGUAAUACGGGGGAUGCAAGCGUUAUCCGGAUUUAUUGGGUUUAAAGGGUGCGUAGGCGGUGAGGUAAGUCAGCGGUGAAAUGCCCCCGCUCAACGGGGUGAAGUGCCAUUGAUACUGCCUUGCUUGAAUGCGGAUGCCGUGGGAGGAAUGUGUGGUGUAGCGGUGAAAUGCAUAGAUAUCACACAGAACACCGAUUGCGAAGGCAUCUCACGAAUCCGCGAUUGACGCUGAUGCACGAAAGCGUGGGUAUCAAACAGGAUUAGAUACCCCUGUAGUC